rnacentral:rRNA from 1 species
UGUACAGUCACUGGUCGAGGGAUCAUUUGGCUUGUAGGUUGAUGAAGAUCGUAGCGAAAUACGUUAAUUAAUAUGAGAUGCGGUUAUUCGUGAUUCAUCAAAAUAUCGAACGCACUUGGCAGUGUAUCUUUCAUGGAUACACUAGCAACGGAAGAGAGGUUUAACAACAUAAUACGUUUUCAGUUAUACUACCAAUAUUUUUUGCUAGUAUCAAUGUCUAAAUAACCUCUUGUAAAAUGGAGAGUAUAUAUAUAUAUAGAGAAGUAUCAUUUGUUUUACCUUAACAAUGAUAGAUUCAUCAUCUUUUGACCUAAAUUCAACUUGUUGUAUCUAGGUUGAUAUGUUAAAUCUAGUUGAGGUUACUAUGAGCUUGUAUUUUAUAUAAGUGCUUCUCUUUCCAUAUCAAAUGGAAGCUCUUCUACUCUUUCAGACCAUCUUCUCGUUGCAAUUCACCCGGUAAACUUAAGCAUAUCAUUCACCGGAGGAAAAGAAAUCAAAUGAGAUGCCCUUAGUAACGGCGAGUGAAACGGGCAUAGCGCAAAAUUAAAAUCUUGACUGGUGCAAGCUGGUCAAGAGUUGUAAUUUAUGGGAGUGUAGAGAUAGCGAUAGAUGUAUAACCUCAAGUUCGUUGGAAAACGGCACCAUAGAGAGUGAUAGUCUCGUAAGGUUAUAUUCUGUUGUUUCUUACUUUUCACUCUUAAGAGUAGUACAGCUUGGGAUUGCUGUAUGAAAUUUAUAUAGGUGGUAAAUGGCACCUAACGCUAAAUAUACCUACAAGACCGAUAGCAAACAAGUACUGUGAAGGAAAAUUGAAAUAGAACUCUGAAAAGAGAGUUAAACAUAAGAAUGUGAAAUUGAUCAGUGAGAACCUAAAAAGCAGCGUCAAGCUAAAAAGGGGAGUUGUCUUGGUAGCAAUACCAGCUCUCUCUUAAUUAAUGCGAAACAACAUGCACAGUUGUCCCGGUGCAGAAUCUCUCUAGAGGAAGCUUGUCGGUCUAUCCUUGUGUUAGAUUAGGUGAGUUGUUACUCGGGGAAGUAUUGCCCGGUAGAGCUGUGUAUUUGAGCCAAUGCACUCUCUUAAUCAUUGUGAUUGUAAUAUCUAUAUAAUGCUCUUAUUGAUGUACUCUUAGAAGUGCAUUGAUAAUGGGUGUUGUUUAGGUGCUGCAAGCUCAACAUUUGAGUGAGUGAUACGGUUGUUCCAAGCACUCUAAUCAAGUGCUGGACGUGGCUUUUUUAUCCCGUCUUGAAACACGGACCAAGGAGUAUAACAUGUGGGCAAGGAUAAGGGUUUAUUAAACCAAUAUCCGUAAUGAAAGUAAGAGGGUAGAAACUCUCUCUCUUUAUUGAGGGUGGCAUACUCGAAGGCGUCAAUUGUUAAUCUUUACUUGGACGUCAUUUGUAGUCUAUAUGUUGUGACCCGAAAGAUGGUGAACUAUACUUGUGUAGAAUGAAGUCAGGGGAAACUCUGAUGGAAGUUCGUAGCAAUACUGACGUGCAAAUCGUUUGUCAAAUAUGAGUAUAGGGGCGAAAGACUAAUCGAACCAUCUAGUAGCUGGUUCAAGCUGAAAUUUCUCUCAGGAUAGCAGUAGAAAAACAGUUACAUCUGGUAAAGAUAAUGAUUAGGGGAUUUGGGAGAGAAACUUUCUCAACUCAUUGUCAAACUUUAAAUGGGUGUGAUAGGUGUAGUGGUCGUAUAGCACUGCAUCUUUGAAUGAUAUUUUCUAUUUGUGGACAUUUUUUGGUAAGCAGAAUAUGUGAUGCGGGAUGAACCGAAAGUCAUUUUAAAUGUGCCUGAUUGUACACUCAUUAUUAGAUACCAUAAAAAGUGUUGUUGUAUUAAGACACCAGGACAGUGGCCAUGGAAGUCGGAAUCUGCUAAGGAAUGUGUAACAACUCACCUGGCAAAUGCAAUAGCCUUGAAAAUUAAUGGCGCUGAAAGUGUAUAACAUAUAAAUGACACUAGCAGCAAUAACAAUUAUGCUGCUAGUUGUAAGCUUGUGUGACGCAUACUUUUUUUGAAGCGAAAUGAAGGAGACAAGGAGUGAUCCUGUCUUGAUCAUGCGUUAGUACAGAUCUUGGUGGUAGUAGCAACUAGUCAAGUGAGAACCUUGACCGCCGAUGUGAGGAAGGUUUUCCUGGCAAUUGUAUUAAGCCAGGAGUUAGUCGAUCUUAAGAGCAGUCCGAAAUGGUCAACAAGGAGAGAUUCUUCUAGAGUCCCUCCUGGUGCUCGAAAAGGAAACAGGUUAAUAUUCCUGUACAUGGUGAGGGUCAUUCUGGUAUAGCAAUAUAUUGGUGUGGUUCGUCUGGAUAUGAAGAGGCGACUCAAAUGAACGUCAUAACGGCAUUAGCGUUCCAAUACAGAGUUAUCUUUUCUGUAUAAAGGCGUGUAGGGUGUGCUUUACUGCUAGCAAUAGUAGUGUAGUUGCAUUCUCCGAAUAGUGUUGAGCUAGAUUUGUUCUGAGAUGCACUAUUCAUUUGCCUUAAUAGGAGCUCAUUUUUUAUGAUCUCCCUGUGAGGUGCUAGGUGUACUUUCAUCGGUAUGUUUAUCACUUCCAUGAACUGUGUAUCGCUAAUGUCCCUUGAAAAAUGAUGUCUUGUGGAACAAUUCCAUUCAUUUUCAGACCAUUUCGUACCCAUAACCGCAUCAGGUCCUCAAGGUUAAUAGCCUCUGGCGAAGUAGCAUAACGUAGGUAAGGGAAGUCGGCAAAAUAGACCUGUAACUUAGGGAAAAGGGUUGGCUCAAAUGAAAGGAGCGCAUUAAGGAGGCUACCGCUUCAUUUUAAGCGUAGCGAGUUGUAGGUGUUACUGGCAACGGUGAUACUUGUAGCUCGUUAUGUGUGGAGUGGAGUAAGGGGUCUCACUACUUGGUGCGUUCACUUACUUUUAAUUUUGAACUGUUACUAACUAGGGGAAUCCGACUGUUUAAUAAAAACAAAGCAUUGAGAACUUUUUGAGGAUUGAAAAUGUCUUUAACUCAAUGUGAUUUCUGCCCAGUGCUCUGAAUGUCAAUGUGAAGAGAUUCGACCAAGCGCGGGUUAACGGCGGGAGUAACUAUGACUCUCUUAAGGUAGCCAAAUGCCUCGUCAUCUAAUUAGUGACGUGCAUGAAUGGAUUAACGAGAUUCCUACUGUCCCUAUCUACACGCUAGUGAAACCACAGUCCGGGGAACGGGCCGGAUAAAAUAGACAGCGGGGAAAGAAGACCCUAUUGAGCUUGACUCUAGUUUGUAUUUGUGACGUGAUAUUAAGGGUGUAGCAUAAGUGGGAGCUGCAAGGCGAUAAUGAAAUACCACUACCGUAAUCAUUGCUUUACUAAGGAGAUGGCAACGAGGGUGAACUGUGUAAGCAGUUCACAUUGUGAUGCACAUAUGCAAGUGCGAUGAAGCUGUUAGUGACUUUUAUUAGAGUUGUUCGAGAGUUCAAGGUGUGUGGAGAUGCUCAUUUAGCAAUAACUGAGCAGCUCUUUUUCAUACCACUCACGAGCUUUCUCUAGUGAUAGCUAGCAGUCUCUCUCGCUCUUGAUACCGAGUUUUCUUCAAUAUUUUCAGAUGGGGAGUUUGGCUGGGGCGGCACAUUUGUGAAAUGAUAGCGCAAGUGUCCAAAGGUGUACUCAAAAAGGACAGAAACCUUUUGUAGAGGAAAAGGCUAAACAGUACACUUGAUUAUGAUGUUCAGUAAAUGUAAUAACUAUGAAAGUAUGGCCUAUCGAUCCUUUAGAGGGGUAAGGCAGCAAUGCUGAUAUAUAACCCUGUAUAUAACCAUUUUUUUUAUUCUAGAGGUGUCAGAAAAGUUACCAUAGGGAUAACUGGCUUGUGGCGGCCAAGAGUUCAGAUCGACGUCGCUUUUUGAUCCUUCGAUGUCGGCUCUUCCUAUCAUUAUCAAGCAGAAUUGAUAAAGCGUUGGAUUGUUCACCCAUUAAAAGGGAACGUGAGCUGGGUUUAGACCGUCGUGAGACAGGUUAGUUUUACCCUACUGCCGAGUCUAGUAAUAUAGAGCAGUUCUAAUACUGUUCUAGAGAUGCAAGUAGCUUUGAUAGUAAUUUAAUUCAGUACGAGAGGAACCAUUAAUUCAUAUAAUUGGUAAUGCUUCUGGUUGACAAGCCAAUGAAGCAACGCUAACAUAUGCCUGCUUAUAGCUGAACGCCUCUAAGCUAGAAGCAGACCUAGAGAGAGAGCUAUUUAUUCUAAUCAAUGGGGAGAACAGUGUUAACAAGUGCAACCAUAGAGAGAUUUGUUCUGCUGUUGUGACCUAGCUCACAGC